ensembl:lncRNA APPAT atherosclerotic plaque pathogenesis associated transcript
GGGCUGAACAGCUGCAUUCGAGGCUGGUGGAGGGUGGGCUGGGCAUGGGAUGCACAAAUGGAAAUUCCACUGGGUCUGCAGCUCACACAUAGGCAUGACCAGCAUAGAGAUAGAGAGGCCCCAGUGCUGCUGAGUAACUGUGAUUCCCCAGGUGAUGGCAUCAGCUGAGAAGGGAAGGAAGCCCAUGAGAGGACACUGAAGAAGGAGUGAGCAGACAAUAAGAAGCCCACAGAAGACAGAGAAGGAACAACUAGAGGGAGAAGCCAAGGCAGACACUACCCAAAGCAGUGCUUCACUACAGUGGCAGACAGACCUGAAAAUUUUCAUCUGAAGCAGCAGAGUGAACUGCAGAGGCAGAGAUAGAAUCUCACUAUGUUGACCAGGCUGGUCUUGAACUCUUGGCACCCAAGCGAUCCUUUUGCCUGGAAUCCCAAAGUGUCAGAUUUACUGAAGAAUAUUUCAUUGUAAUUACUUUUUAUACUUUAUAGGUCAAGAGCUCUGUUUUAAAUACAAAAUUUAUUGAAUAUACUUUUUCAAAC